rnacentral:tRNA from 1 species
GCGGCUAUAGCUCAGUGGUAGAACACAUGCUUAGCAUGCAGGAGGUCCUGGGUUCAAUCCCCAGUACCUCCA